AACGAACGCUGGCGGCAUGCCUAACACAUGCAAGUCGAACGAGACCUUCGGGUCUAGUGGCGCACGGGUGCGUAACGCGUGGGAACCUGCCCUUAGGUUCGGAAUAACUCCCCGGAAGGGGUGCUAAUACCGGAUAAUGUCUUCGGACCAAAGAUUUAUCGCCUUUGGAUGGGCCCGCGUUGGAUUAGCUAGUUGGUAGGGUAAAAGCCUACCAAGGCGACGAUCCAUAGCUGGUCUGAGAGGAUGAUCAGCCACACUGGGACUGAGACACGGCCCAGACACCUACGGGAGGCAGCAGUGGGGAAUAUUGGACAAUGGGCGAAAGCCUGAUCCAGCAAUGCCGCGUGAGUGAUGAAGGCCUUAGGGUUGUAAAGCUCUUUUACCCGGGAUGAUAAUGACAGUACCGGGAGAAUAAGCUCCGGCUAACUCCGUG
rnacentral:rRNA from 1 species